UGACCUCGGAUCAGGUAGGAAUACCCGCUGAACUUAAGCAUAUCAAUAAGCGGAGGAAAAGAAACCAACAGGGAUUGCCCUAGUAACGGCGAGUGAAGCGGCAACAGCUCAAAUUUGAAAUCUGGCUCUCGGGCCCGAGUUGUAAUUUGUAGAGGAUACUUUUGAUGCGGUGCCUUCCGAGUUCCCUGGAACGGGACGCCAUAGAGGGUGAGAGCCCCGUCUGGUUGGAUGCCAAAUCUCUGUAAAGUUCCUUCGACGAGUCGAGUAGUUUGGGAAUGCUGCUCUAAAUGGGAGGUAUAUGUCUUCUAAAGCUAAAUACCGGCCAGAGACCGAUAGCGCACAAGUAGAGUGAUCGAAAGAUGAAAAGCACUUUGAAAAGAGAGUUAAAAAGUACGUGAAAUUGUUGAAAGGGAAGCGUUUAUGACCAGACUUGGGCUUGGUUAAUCAUCUGGGGUUCUCCCCAGUGCACUUUUCCAGUCCAGGCCAGCAUCAGUUUUCGCCGGGGGAUAAAGACUUCGGGAAUGUGGCUCUCUUCGGGGAGUGUUAUAGCCCGUUGUGUAAUACCCUGGCGGGGACUGAGGUUCGCGCAUCUGCAAGGAUGCUGGCGUAAUGGUCAUCAACGACCCGUCUUGAAACACGGACCAAGGAGUCGUCUUCGUAUGCGAGUGUUCGGGUGUCAAACCCCUACGCGUAAUGAAAGUGAACGCAGGUGAGAGCUUCGGCGCAUCAUCGACCGAUCCUGAUGUUCUCGGAUGGAUUUGAGUAAGAGCAUACGGGGCCGGACCCGAAAGAAGGUGAACUAUGCCUGUAUAGGGUGAAGCCAGAGGAAACUCUGGUGGAGGCUCGCAGCGGUUCUGACGUGCAAAUCGAUCGUCAAAUAUGGGCAUGGGGGCGAAAGACUAAUCGAACCUUCUAGUAGCUGGUUUCCGCCGAAGUUUCCCUCAGGAUAGCAGUGUUGAACUCAGUUUUAUGAGGUAAAGCGAAUGAUUAGGGACUCGGGGGCGCUAUUUAGCCUUCAUCCAUUCUCAAACUUUAAAUAUGUAAGAAGCUCUUGUUGCUUAAUUGAACGUGAGCAUUCGAAUGUAUCAACACUAGUGGGCCAUUUUUGGUAAGCAGAACUGGCGAUGCGGGAUGAACCGAACGCGAGGUUAAGGUGCCAGAGUAGACGCUCAUCAGACACCACAAAAGGUGUUAGUACAUCUUGACAGCAGGACGGUGGCCAUGGAAGUCGGAAUCCGCUAAGGACUGUGUAACAACUCACCUGCCGAAUGUACUAGCCCUGAAAAUGGAUGGCGCUCAAGCGUCUCACCCAUACCUCGCCCUCAGGGUAGAAACGAUGCCCUGAGGAGUAGGCGGACGUGGAGGUCAGUGACGAAGCCUAGGGCGUGAGCCCGGGUUGAACGGCCUCUAGUGCAGAUCUUGGUGGUAGUAGCAAAUACUUCAAUGAGAACUUGAAGGACCGAAGUGGGGAAAGGUUCCAUGCCACCAGAUCGCUGGACAUGGCCCACGACAUGCUCAACCCUCCGGAAGCUGCGAAUCCAACGCGGAAUUCGUUCCCCUGUGGUGCAAAGGUAACCCCACCCCAAAUUCCCGCACACUCGAUGACCCCCUUUCCCGCCGUUACCCCCCCCCCCC
rfam:Fusarium verticillioides 7600 supercont3.31, whole genome shotgun sequence.